rnacentral:rRNA from 1 species
AGCUAUGUACGUUCGGAUAUUGGGCGUAAGAGCUCGUAGGCGGUUUGUCGCGUCUGCUGUGAAAGACCGGGGCUCAACUCCGGUUCUGCAGUGGGUACGGGCAGACUAGAGUGCAGUAGGGGAGACUGGAAUUCCUGGUGUAGCGGUGAAAUGCGCAGAUAUCAGGAGGAACACCGAUGGCGAAGGCAGGUCUCUGGGCUGUAACUGACGCUGAGGAGCGAAAGCAUGGGGAGCGAACAGGAUUAGAUACCCUGGUAGUCCAUGCCGUAAACGUUGGGCACUAGGUGUGGGGGACAUUCCACGUUUUCCGCGCCGUAGCUAACGCAUUAAGUGCCCCGCCUGGGGAGUACGGCCGCAAGGCUAAAACUCAAAGGAAUUGACGGGGGCCCGCACAAGCGGCGGAGCAUGCGGAUUAAUUCGAUGCAACGCGAAGAACCUUACCAAGGCUUGACAUGAACCGGUAAUACCUGGAAACAGGUGCCCCGCUUGCGGUCGGUUUACAGGUGGUGCAUGGUUGUCGUCAGCUCGUGUCGUGAGAUGUUGGGUUAAGUCCCGCAACGAGCGCAACCCUCGUUCUAUGUUGCCAGCGGUUCGGCCGGGGACUCAUAGGAGACUGCCGGGGUCAACUCGGAGGAAGGUGGGGACGACGUCAAAUCAUCAUGCCCCUUAUGUCUUGGGCUUCACGCAUGCUACAAUGGCCGGUACAAAGGGUUGCGAUACUGUGAGGUGGAGCUAAUCCCAAAAAGCCGGUCUCAGUUCGGAUUGGGGUCUGCAACUCGACCCCAUGAAGUCGGAGUCGCUAGUAAUCGCAGAUCAGCAACGCUGCGGUGAAUACGUUCCCGGGCCUUGUACACACCGCCCGUCAAGUCACGAAAGUUGGUAACACCCGAAGCCGGUGGGCCUAACCCUUGUGGGGGGAGCCGUCGAAGUGGGACCGGCGAUUGGGACUAGUCGACAAAGGUAGGAACACACAA